UGCCAGCCGCCGCGGUAAUACGUAGGGUGCAAGCGUUAUCCGGAAUUAUUGGGCGUAAAGCGUUCGUAGGUGGUUUGAAAAGUUUGUAGUUAAAUCUGGUCGCUCAACGAUCAACUCGCUACGAAAACUCUCAAACUAGAGAAUAGCAGGGGCAACUGGAAUUCCACAUGUAGGGGUAAAAUCCGUUGAUAUGUGGAGGAACACCAAAAGCGAAGGCAGGUUGCUGGGCUAUUUCUGACACUGAGGAACGAAAGCGUGGGGAGCAAACAGGAUUAGAUA
rnacentral:rRNA from 1 species